GGUGUAGCUCAGCUGGUAGAGUAGUGGUCUCCAAAACCAUUGGUCGUGGGUUCGAAUCCUACCGCC
rnacentral:tRNA from 1 species